GGGAGCCUGGCGCGGUGGGAGGCUGGGCUGCCAUCCCGGCGGCACCUUCCGCGCUGCCCGCUUCAACUGCGGGUGAUCCCAC